AUUGAACGCUGGCGGCAGGCCUAACACAUGCAAGUCGAACGAGUGGCGGACGGGUGAGUCAUGUCUGGGACACUGCCCGAUGGAGGGGGAUAACUCCUGGAAACGGUAGCUAAUACCGCAUACCCUCGACUGUUCCCAGAUGAGAUUAGCUAGUAGGUGGGGUAACGGUUCACCUAUGCGACGAUCACUAGCUGGUCUGAGAGGAUGACCGGCCACACGGGAACGGAGACACGGUCCAGACUCCUACGGGAGGCAGCAGUGGGGAAUAUUGCACAAUGGGCGAAAGCCUGAUGCAGCCAUGCCGCGUGUAUGAAGAAGGCCUUCGGGUUGUAAAGUACUUUCAGUGGGGAGGCGUUACCCGCAGAAGAAGCCCCGGCUAACUCCGUGCCAGCAGCCGCGGUAAUAC
rnacentral:rRNA from 1 species